ACCUGCCUUCUGCCCCGGAUUGUAACCGGCGGCGCAUCUGCGCUGAGGGCAACGUGUUCGAUGAAAUGCCACCGGCUGGGCUUUUGGCUCGGCGAGUCGUGCGUGGGAGAGCUGAACCGCUGCUGAGGUCUUUGCGUCCUCUCAGAGCGUCUACACGAUGGCUGCACGCCGGCAGGGAGCCACAGGAAGAAGAGUUCCCUUACGCCGACGUGCCCCGGCCCGGGAGGAAAUGGGAGAGGAAGCCGUACGUGACACCGAUGAAGGUCCUCAUCCGGAGGGCCAAGGAGGAGAGACGGGCCCGGCAGGAGACCCCGUGCCGCGUGCUGGAGCACCCGCCCGCCAACGGCCUUCUCGUGCCGCACCUCGUCGAGGUUGCGCAUCGGGUACACAGAGCAAGGGAGAGGCUCCUCAGCGGCCUCGCCAGCCUUGUCAAAGGCGAAGCUGCCAUCCCGGUGAAGCGAUGCAGGUUCUGCUCGGAGGUGCACAUCGGUGACAUCGGGCACGAGAUCAGGACGUGUGAGGGUCCCAACAGCGCGUCUAGGAACUCCUUGCACGUGUGGCGGCCGGGGACAGUACGGGACGUCCUCGGCUUCCCAUACUGCUACCACCUGUUUGAUCGCGUUGGGAAGCCCAGGGUGGUGCACAAGGAGAAGUACGUCGUCCCAAGGCUCCCGGCCAUCCUGGAGCUAUGCAUCCAGGCAGGUGUCGACGUCGAGCGAUACCCAACCAAGAGGAGGGCAAGGCCAGUCUACUCAAUUGACGGCAGGAUUGCAGACUUCGAGCUGGACGAAGAAGACGGCUCCUCCGAAGCAGAAACAUCACCUGAAGCUUGGUCGUGUCCAUUGCCGCCGCCUCAAACGAGUUCUGCUUGUACUGCCUAUGCCGGUGAUCGAACAGAACAAGAGAUCACUGUGAGGGAGAUGAGCUCCAGGACGCUGCAGUCCUGGCUGGAGAUGCGGUCGGGCGCGGUGAAGCUGAUGAGGAAGUACAGUGUGGUCACCUGCGGGUACUGCCCAGAUGUGCAGGUCGGGCCCAAGGGCCACAAGGUGAGGAUGUGCAAGGCGAGCAAGCAUCAGCAGCGGGAUGGCCAGCACGCGUGGCAGGAAGCCACGGUGGACGACAUUGUCCCCCUGAACCAUGUCUGGCACGUCCGCGACCCGGCUGGCGACAGUGUGCCUCUCGCGAACGAACUCAAGAGGUACUAUGGCAAGGCCCCGGCUGUGGUGGAGCUCUGCGUGCGCGCGGGCGCCCCAAUACCGGCACAGUACAGGAGCAUGAUGCGGUUGGACGUCGUGCCGCCCGCACGCGACGAGUACGACCUCGUUGCCUGAGAGUCAGACUGGCAUUGCGGUGCCUGGUGCUCAUGCAUGUUUUCGACCCUCAGUUUGCCUGCAUGUUGGAGCUGCGCAAGGUUGAAAUGUUAACCUGAUGAUAACAUGCUCGCCGGUCCGAUUUCAGACCUUGCCGGCUGCUUAGCUAUUAUAAGUCACCAAAUGGUGAAUGGGAUAUUUCAGGAAGAUUUUCAUUCAUUUCCCUGUAGCUGCGCAGGCCAAUUUGUUGUACUUAAUUUUACUCGCACAUCAGUUUGGAGCUAUCUUAGUAAGCUACAUGCCAAAUGAAAAAAAAAGAGAUAAAGUUGUUGUGCUAUUAGCUAUAUCAUGUUAACAUGCAACCGUGUAUUUGAUUGGUAAAUUUGGUAUCUAGGUAGAAAUACUGUGUUGAAAAAGAAACACAUGUCCUGAAAAUACAGUUAGUCCGCUGUACUGGUGUUUCCUGUUCUAGAAAUAUAAAUUGGCAUAAGAAAAACAUCAGCUCCUUUACGGGGAAAAAGAUGAAAAGCACCGGGUUGGGCCGGUGUGGUCUAUACUUUGAGCAGUGCUGGUCUGCAGCCGCUCCCAUGAUACGCUUGGUGAUGCCAUGAGUAGCAAUAAGUUCUGCAUGUCUUUCAGAAACAUCGUUCAUCUCUAUCAUCAUUUUGUCACAUGUACAUCUUUUCUCGCGCAUUUCACUGUCAAGGCAUAUCCAUCUCUAUUCUUCUCUGCCUUUUCCUCUCAAAGUUUCUACAAUUGCUGGUCUUUUCUGGUGG